CAAAGUGUAGCUUAACAAUAAAGCAUUUGGCCUACACCCAGAAGAAUUCAUACAAUGAACACUUUGA
rnacentral:tRNA from 1 species